CCAAUAGCGUAUAUUAAAGUUGUUGUGGUUAAAAAGCUCGUAGUUGAACCUUGGGCCUGGCUGGCCGGUCCGCCUCACCGCGUGUACUGGUCCGGCCGGGCCUUUCCCUCUGUGGAACCCCAUGCCCUUCACUGGGUGUGGUGGGGAAACAGGACUUUUACUGUGAAAAAAUUAGAGUGCUCCAGGCAGGCCUAUGCUCGAAUACAUUAGCAUGGAAUAAUAGAAUAGGACGUGUGGUUCUAUUUUGUUGGUUUCUAGGACCGCCGUAAUGAUUAAUAGGGACAGUGGGGGGCAUCAGUAUUCAAUUGUCAGAGGUGAAAUUCUUGGAUUUAUUGAAGACUAACUACUGCGAAAGCAUUUGCCAAGGAUGUUUUCAUUAAGCAGGAACGAAAGUUAGGGGAUCGAAGACGAUCAGAUACCGUCGUAGUCUUAACCAUAAACUAUGCCGACUAGGGAUCGGACGGUGUUAUUUUUUGACCCGUUCGGCACCUUACG
rnacentral:rRNA from 1 species